ensembl:lncRNA
GUCAGGUCAGGCAUCUGUCUCCUAUAGAUCCAGGUCUCUAUCAUCUCAGCAGCUUAGCCAGCAGGUCAGGGGGUUCCAGGCAUCUGUCUCCUAUAGAUCCAGGUCCCUAUCAUCUCAGCAGCUUAGCCAGCAGGUCAGGGGGUUCCAGGCGUCUGUCACCACGUAUACUGUAGGCCUCUCACACCAGCAAAUCCAGACACACACACACACUAUGUGGAUCAUGUCCCCUCUGUACUUUGAUGGCAUCGUGUUAAACUCUUCAGUCGACCACAGGGAUGUCUGACCCGACCUGUG